CCUACGGGAGGCAGCAGUGAGGAAUUUUCCGCAAUGGGCGAAAGCCUGACGGAGCAAUGCCACGUGGAGGAGGAAGGCCUGUGGGUCGUAAACUCCUUUUCUCAGAGAAGAAGUUCUGACGGUAUCUGAGGAAUAAGCAUCGGCUAACUCUGUGCCAGCAGCCGCGGUAAUACAGGGGAUGCAAGCGUUAUCCGGAAUUAUUGGGCGUAAAGCGUCCUGAGGUGGCUUACCCAGUCGACUGUGAAAGCUCAAGGCUUAACCUUGAAACGGCAGUCGAAACUUGUAAGCUUGAGUACGGUAGGGGCAGAGGGAAUUCCCGGAGGAGAGGUGAAAUUCGUAGAUAUCGGGAGGAAGGCCAAAGGCGAAAGCACUCUGCUGGGCCGAUUACUGACACUGACAGACGAAAGCUAGGGGAGCGAAAGGGAUUAGAUACCCCUGUAGUCCUAGCCGUAAACGAUGGAUACUAAGUGUUGCGCGACUCAAAACGUGCAGUGCUGCAGCUAACGCGGUAAGUAUCCCGCCUGGGGAGUAUGCCCGNAGGUNAACNAAGAUUGACGNNGAGAGNGCGACGAGACGACGAGGAGAG
rnacentral:rRNA from 1 species